UACGUAGGGGGCAAGCGUUGUCCGGAUUUAUUGGGCGUAAAGAGCGUGUAGGCGGUCAGGUAGGUCCGUUGUGAAAACUCGAGGCUCAACCUCGAGACGCCGAUGGAAACCAUCUGACUAGAGUCCGGAAGAGGAGAGUGGAAUUCCUGGUGUAGCGGUGGAAUGCGUAGAGAUCCGGAAGAACACCGGUGGCGAAGGCGGCCUGCUGGGCAGUUGCUGACACUGAGGCGCGACAGCGUGGGGAGCAAACAGG
rnacentral:rRNA from 1 species